UACGGAGGGUGCGAGCGUUAAUCGGAAUGACUGGGCGUAAAGCGCGCGUAGGUGGUUUGUUAAGUUGGAUGUGAAAGCCCAGGGCUCAACCUUGGAAUUGCAUCCAAAACUGGCUAACUAGAGUACGGUAGAGGGGGGUAGAAUUUCAGGUGUAGCGGUGAAAUGCGUAGAGAUCUGAAGGAAUACCAGUGGCGAAGGCG
rnacentral:rRNA from 1 species